rnacentral:rRNA from 1 species
GCUUGUCUCAAAGAUUAAGCCAUGCAUGUCUAAGUAUAAGCAAUUAUACGGCGAAACUGCGAAUGGCUCAUUAUAUAAGUUAUCGUUUAUUUGAUAGUACUUUACUACUUGGAUAACCGUGGUAAUUCUAGAGCUAAUACAUGCUUAAAAUCCCGACUUCGGAAGGGAUGUAUUUAUUAGACUAAAAACCAAUGCCCUUCGGGGCUCCUUGGUGAUUCAUGAUAACUUCUCGAAUCGCAUGGCCUUGUGCCGGCGAUGGUUCAUUCAAAUUUCUUCCCUAUCAACUUUCGAUGUUUGGGUAUUGGCCAAACAUGGUUGCAACGGGUAACGGAGGGUUAGGGCUCGACCCCGGAGAAGGAGCCUGAGAAACGGCUACUACAUCCAAGGAAGGCAGCAGGCGCGCAAAUUACCCAAUCCCGACUCGGGGAGGUAGUGACAAUAAAUACUGAUACAGGGUUCUUUUGGAUCUUGUAAUUGGAAUGAGUACAAUUUAAAUCCCUUAACGAGGAACAAUUGGAGG